GGGCUACUCUCUUCGGCCGGCACUGGACGGAGCGGAUUAGCCCUGCAAGACAGGUGAGUCCGGCUGGCUUGCCGCGACGGGGGCAGGGGGAGCAGCAGCUUCAUCUCUUGCUAGGCGGAGGGCCUGCAGGGCGGCCUGGCCUGCUCCGGGGGCUGUGCAGCCAGCGAUCCCUAGACUUGGGGGGACCCACCUGUCUUAUGUCUGCAGCCUUCCACGUUUCUAGUGACUGGCUCCUUUGGGGAUCAGCCCCUUUUGCAGAGGACCCCCAAGGGGUACUUCGUCGCCUCUGAAAUAGCCGCAGUUGUUCCAGAACCCUUGGAGGGUGCGGUAGGUGGGCAACUCCUGGUGCCCUUGUUGGCGCUUUUCUCCAAGAAGGGGCAAGGGGCAGGCAGCUAUCUCCCUUGUGCUGGGCAGCAAUCUCUCUUCUAUGGGGAAGGAAGGGUGAAGCAUGCUUGAAGCAGUGGUGGUUGCAGCAGAGGCUGUCCGGUCCUGGUGGGGGACAGCCCCUUGUCCUGCCAAGUCUGGGGUUAGCUCUACUCCCAUGCAAGCCGGACAGUGCUUGACUACCCCCCACUCAAGCAGAGGUGGCCUGGCCUAUGUGCCAUUUCACUAGAGCGGAGUGGGACGGGCGUUGGCAUAGGGUGGGCCAGUUGGAAAUGUCUCUUGCCUGGUUUUUCACAGGUGUCCCUCAUGUCCUGGCACUCUUCUCUGCCCACUUGGAGUAAACCAAGUUGAUGUACAUGGCCUGUCUUGCCUGGCAAGUGUAGAGGGCUAGCAAUGAAACUGGGUCCUUCUCGUCCUCAAUCUCUUCCACCCAGUAGUUGCCAGAGUCUGAAGCUGCCCUGGAUGAGUUGGGCAUUACUCAUGGGGGGCUUCCUGGAGGAGGAAUUCUGCCAUCGUGUUGUGUACAGAGACGAUGCCUGGCACCAAGUCUGGCACCUCACGCGCACAAAGAUGAGCUUGGCUACUGAGCCCCAGUCUUGAGGGCCCCUUCUAGUUUCCUUCCCUACAAAUAGGUCUUUGGCAAGGGGUGGGGUGGAAUGCCUGGGAGCCUCAAAGGGUGUGCUGCUAUGCAUGGAUCGAGGUUUUGCCUCCCAAGUGGCCCUUUUCCUUGCCUGCUGUUGGGGGACACAGAUGGCUGCUCCUGUCUCCUGGCUGUGGUCCUGUAGAUAUAUCAGGGAUGAUGACAGGAGAGCUGAGCCACAGGGAAAAAGGCCUCUGCCCUUGCUUGGAUAUCAGCAUUGGAUCCUCCGCCCUUGGCUGCGAGUCACCAUUAUUCAGCAUGAAGACUUCAGAGAGUGACUCCAGAGUAAAACCGCUGUGUUGGAAUGGAUCCUGUUCUGAACCAGCGGAAGUCUGAAUCGAGCUUUAAAGCUUUCUCGCCUAUUGCAGCGUGACAAAAGUUCGGUUCUUGCCCGUUCCUGCUGUUGGACAUGGUUGUGCGUGUCGGGGCCUUGUGUAGAAAUGGUGCAAACGUGGCAGGUUGCUAGCAUUUCAUUGCCCUUUGACCCCACUGUCUUUUCUAAUAUGCCUGCCCAUCUACCAACUCUGGUGAUUGUUUUAAUUGCCUCUGAUGAAGGGAUGCCCCAUCCUUCCUGAGCUGUCACAAUAAAUGCGUACCAGAAGACUCUUGAUUUUGCUGAGAUUUGAAACCGCAGCCUGUCUAUGCUUACUUCCUGCUGUUCCUGGGCUGCAAGUGGGUCAGAAGGAGGAAAGAUCCUCCAACACAGGCUUCUCUCCUCUGCUCUCUACCACCACCACCCCACUGGUGAAAUGCAGCUGACUCCAGGGUGGUGUUUCAACCCUUCCUAAAGUACUUGUUGAUCUCAAAUGUUUCUGCAGCCCUCAUAUGCCUGAGGAGGAAGUGCAGGGGCGGUGCCUGGCAGUGUGCCUGCCCAGUUAGCGAGGAGGGCUUUGCACUGCCUUGCAGAGGAGAGGGGCUCCUUCAUCUCUGCCCUUGUCCCAGCCCAUCCCUCCCAAGUGAAUUCUCUUUCAUUUAAAGUGCACAAGGUGCAUAAAAUAGUUAUGGGGGCUUGACUUACAGUGGAGGCUAGAGCUCCCUCUGCUGACUAAAUGGGGCAUUGCUGUUCUUUCCGUGGAGAGGCGUUCUCUGCUCAUCUGAACCAAAUAGGGGAAAUUUUUAUAUAUAUCAAAAGGCUAAAUCAUCUUGGCUGGAAUUUGCUUCCAAGAGUGGAAAUUUACAUGCUUCUGAUUAUUAGGUUUUCUGCAACAGAUGCUGCUGUAUUUAAGUUUUUUUGGUGCUUGGGUAGUGGUGGUAAUACAAAACUAGCCGAGUUUCAAAAGGAUCUUAAUGUGGCCUGUUUAAUGUUUGGUGUUGCCUUUAGCUAGUCAACAAAACAGUUAGGUUUUUCAGUUCCAAAUAAAAUAUAUUCAGUUCCAAAGUAGCAUAAUUCUUUUUUUUCUCAAAGUAAUACUGAGAAUUUUUCAAGCAAAGAGGGAAGGUGACGCUUGAUCUAGCUCUUAAUGUUAAAAGAGGUGGCAGUGCAGCUUUUAAACUAACUCUUAGGGGAAUGUCAACUGGAGAUGAGUCAUCCCAAGAGGGCAAGGGGGGAAAACACUCACCGUCAUAUGGACAGGAAGGGGUUAGAACUUGAGAACGAGGGUGGGGUAGUAAAUGAGGGAAGAGAUCACAAGACAAAAGGACCCUGGCCAGGGGGAAUGAGGUACAGGUGUCUGUAUGCCAAUGGCAGAUGCCUCCAAGCCAAGAUGAGAAGAGGACUUGGUACUAAGUGACAAUCUAGUAGAAAUAGUGGGUGUUUCAGAUGUGGCACAUCAAUGGGGCAGAGGUAUUCCUGGAUACAAAUUCUAUAGACAGGACAUUUGGGACGGGUGUUUUGUGGGCCAAAAUGGGCAUAGAGUCAAAUAAAAUGCAGAGGGGGAGGGAAUAAACUCCCCCAAUGAAUUGCUACGGUUAGUGAAUUAUUCCUAAAAGUUCCUUUAAAGUGUGUACAGGGGAGGGGGGUUAGUAUUAGCCACCUGAUCAAAUGUUGAAGCUCUUGUUGAGAUGGGGAAGGGGAAGGGAGGCAACUCAAUUUAAAAAAUGAUGUCAUCUGACUUUAGUUACCUUUACAUUGUCUGGGCAAACGUGCGCUCAAGUCACGCUGUAGAAAUGAAUUUUCAGGACAUGAUAAAUGACUGGUUUGUUACAGUUGGUCAUGGAGCCGACUAGAUGGGUAGUGGCCCUGGACUUGGUUCUGAGCAGAUGUAGGUGGUGUUGCACUUAUUUGGAACAGUGAACACAACACAAUUAAGUUUGUCAUUUGCAUCAGUGGAAAGUUGCCCCCUGAAUCCAAAACCGUCUCUCCAUUUCCAAAGGAAGAGACCUUUACAAAAGUGAUGGGACUCAUCAGAAAGAAGUUAAAGGGGAUAAUCAAGAGAUGCCCGGAAGCAAUUCAGAACCGCAUUAAUUGAGACCCAGAGAGAACACAGAUGCCCGAGAGAGCCGGAGGAAGGUUGUCUGAAGAACUGAAUCAAGUUGAGGUACUACCAGGAAAACUGAAAACUUAUGUCUACAGGUGUGAUGGUGUAAUAUGCUUUUUGCUGUUGACUCUCUGUAGUUGUGUUUUCAUUGUGUUUUAUUUUCCUUUGCUCUAUCUUUUAACUUUUCUACAAUAAAAAUAAAAAAUAAUUUAAAAA